GGGCUAACACAUUCCACCCUGAGCACGCUUGAUGUCAGAUCUCAGAAGCAAAGCAGUGUUGGGCUUGGUGCAUCGUCCCAUUUAGAACAUGUUGAAAAGAGCCUUGCAUGUAGUCAAGUCUGAAGGCCCU
ensembl:rRNA 5S_rRNA 5S ribosomal RNA